CAAAUCACGUCAGGGUCAUUUCGCCUUUUGAUGGGGGGGCGCUCGAGAAUUCUUUGGUUGGAGUCCAAAUUCCAAAUGUGGCAGCCGAUCAAAAAUGCUCAAAGCGCAUCGUUUCAAAUUUUCGAUGCGACUGAGACAAGCAACUUUGAACAACAGCUCCAAGUAGAUUUUUGCUCUCUUCGAACCUCACGGAUUUUUCACAUGAGCAACUAUGAGUCUGGGG